rnacentral:lncRNA from 1 species
CCAAAGUAUAUGAUGCUUCAGUCUGUAGAGUGUGCAAACAAUGCAUUUUUAAUUUGUUUCUUAAGAGUUUUUGAAGAUCACAUUUGUAUAGGUUUUCUUUGGCAUGGAGACUUGAGAGAGGGAAAGAGAACACAAGGGAGCACAGAAUUAUGAAGUGGAGCAUAAUGAACAGUUUUGAAAAUCAGGCAUUAUUGCAAGCACUACACUUAAACAUAGCUGAGGUUCUACAUUAAUUCAGCCUUUAAAACUUUGAAUUUCUUAUUAAAGAUUGCUUGGAUAACUGUCUUUGAUGGUAAGAGAUCUUGCAGUGCUUGAUGCCCUGAAUUCCAGCUGUGAGCUGACAUCUCUUGGAAGAAUCCCAGCCAGCCUUCCCAUUGAACCACUUGCCAAGAUGAUGACAAUGGGCUGUAACUUUAGUAAGUUUAAUGGCUUUGUUUCUCCGAAACAAAUGUAGCAAUGAAUGCUACAGCUGGGAAUGAAAAACUGAAUAUUGAUGAGAUCAGAGAAUAAAUAACUUCGUAUGGGGAAUAAAGUAGUUGUGAACUGAAAGGGUAAGUAGAGUGAUUGAAACGGACCUGUAGAGGCUGAAUAUUUAUGAAGCAAGAGUGGGACUGCAAAUACUAAGUACAGUGGUAAGGUAGAGGUAGGGGGACAGGAAUUUUGUGACCUAGACAGGACAAGCAAAGAAUUCACACAUUUUAUUUCAGCAGAAGUAAAGAACUGUUGCUUUUAACUGUGAUGGCUGUAGGGUUAUUUUCCCUGAAGAAGAUGGUGGAAAGACCUAGAGAUGGUUGGAAGAAGAUAGGCAAAGUAUGCAACAAGUGAGAAAGCAGAGAAAGACUUUGUGAACACCAAAGAUUUAGCAUGGCUUAAGAAUGGCUUAGGUAGAAAAGGGGCAGCUGAAAGGUACGUAUUCAUUCUGUCUUCCCAGAAAGGGAGAUUCUAUUUGGACAUCGUGAUUUAAUGAGCGUGUUUUUCAUUCAGGGAUGAGAAAUAAACGAGAUAAUCUGUGAUGAACACGUAGGCAAGGAAGUGUGCAUUAGAGCCCUUCUGCUUUUGCUGGUAUGUUCAGGUGAAAUUAUAGUGGUGUCUCAUUCUGGUCGUUGCCUACCAGACAAAAACAGACAAGCUGUGAUGGCUGAGAUGCAAUACGGGGGGAUUUUGGAGGCUGAGGCUAGGCCAGAAGGGUUGAAAAUAUGUUGAUUAAUUGUCCUUAGAGAGUAACCUCCCUGAUUUUCU